CCCCGAGGAAAAGAAAUCAACCGAGAUUCCGAAAGUAGCGGCGAGCGAAAUUGGACUAGCCCUUAAGCUUUACACGCGUUAGACGAACGGUCUGGAAAGUCCGACGAUACAGGGUGAUAGUCCCGUAGUUGACGACGUGUGUUCAGUGAAAUCGAGUAGGGCGGGACACGUGAUAUCCUGUCUGAAUAUGGGGGGACCAUCCUCCAAGGCUAAAUACUACUGACUGACCGAUAGUGAACCAGUACCGUGAGGGAAAGGCGAAAAGAACCCCUGUGAGGGGAGUGAAAUAGAACCUGAAACCGUGUACGUACAAGCAGUAGGAGCAGGCUU
rnacentral:rRNA from 1 species